CUGCCUUGUUGCUGAAAUGUGCUACAUAAAUACUUGAUUGCUUGAUUGAAAAAGGUGUUAAAUAGAAAAGAUAUACAGAAAUAUAUAUAAGUAUAAACAAUCAACAUGUCAUGAUUUAAAGAGUUUCAAGAGAUUACAAAGUUGGGCUUUGCAGCUCCAGUGUUUCACUUUGAGAGUCAUUAUCUACAAAUGGAGAAAACAUGGAACAGUGGUUCUCAGGAGAGGCAAGCCUCACAAAAUUAGUUAAGGACUCAUUCAGAAGAAGACCAGAACCAUCAGCACUGUAGAUUUAAUUUAUUUACGCAUUUCAUGUUUCCACAAGACUGGGAAAAGAUGGCAUCCACUGCCAAACAAGAACAAAUCCCUGACUCAGUGGCUGGGAAACAGAGCCCACAGAACAAAUGAGAAGUAAACACGCAGCCACAGGAAGCCAUUUACUGCAGCAGGGGCCAAUUAGGCCCCAGCAGGUGUUCUGGACUGGGUCGUCUUUGGUCCUGCCUCACCUCCGUCUGGCAGAGCGCCGACCCAGGCUGAGGAAACAACGGGCAGUUUCAUUUACUCAGCAAAGUAUUCCUACAGGAGGGCCCCUAAAAUCCUUUAUUGUGCCCCCUUUGUCCUCUGCCCCACCCCCUCCAAGUGCAAGUCAUUAGAGAAGACAAUUACAUCCUCCUUAUGAAGCUUGACUUUUACAGGAGGGGAAGAUAAGACAGGAUCUCUCUCAUGGAAGACCCCCGGAGCGUAUUGCUGUCUUCACACCCAGAUAGAAGUGAGACGAGACGGUCAAAAUCAAAGUCAAUCCCCAGGGAAGAGAGAGCAGACACAACAUGGGGCUGAAAUUCACAUCCAUGAAGGACCUAAAUGAUACUGUCUCUUAAAAAAAUAAAUGGCCCUCCAGCUGUUUAUUACAUCUUCAUGCACUGUUCCUCUUGAACUAAAUAAACACACUUUGGCUGGUAUCGUUUA